rnacentral:ncRNA from 2 species
CAUACGUGUUCGGGAGAACUGGAUCACCAGUGCCGAAGGAGCAACCGCCCCUGGAAACUCUCAGGCAAAAGGACCUUACACGUAUC